GGCCGGCACAUUUGGCUCCCGGCCAGGCGGGCUGUGGGCAGGGAAAGGGCGUCAGUCAGAAAAAGGCCCGAACCAGCAGCAGCAGCUCCCUCCGCCACCCCGGAUUCGCGAGCCCACCUCGGCGCAAGAAGAGAGCAGCAGACCGGGCUUUGGAGCUGCCUCUGCCCCCCGCCCUCCCGCCCCAAGACCCCAGCAUCGAGUAAAGCUCCGCGCGCCUCCGGGAGCUUUGAGUCCCUACUCCAAGCAGCUACCAACAAGCCUGCCAAGGGCCGGGAAAGUGCACUGGUGACUGGCCUCUUCACCCCACGGAUCGUGACUACUACCCAGAGGGUCCAAGUGUAGUAAGGGACGAAACCAGGCCCCUUCACAUGAGCUUGAGCACUGGCGGCGAUUCAUCACAGUCUAACCACCCCACCAAAAAAGAAAAAGCUGCAGGAUCAACAGUGAACGGCAACAACAGCACAAAAAACAAAAAAAGGACAUCUAGUGCUUGUUCUGGAGAUCAGCGGGGAUUUGGAAGGAAAGUACACAGAUAUACACACGCGGGGGCCCCUGUUUCGGAGCAGAGUUGGGUGUUCAGGCAGGCUAGGGAAGGGAAGUCACCCGACCCGAUGAGGGGGGGGGCACAUGAAGGGGAGCCGUGUGCCAGGCCAGCUCACCACCCCAACAAUCAAACCGCGAAACUCCUUCGGACUUGGCAGCAAAGCACCGCCCUGAAGAGCACAAGCAGGAGGGCAAGGAGCUAGGAUUCUCCCCGACCCCGACAGAGGGACCCGGCACACCUCUACUGGGAGUGAGUCCUAACAAGACAAGAGAGCUUGCAAGUGUGUCUGGCGUUUAGAAGACUUUUUGAAAAUUACUUUUAUGCUCUCUAGUUUUCUCCCUCCAAAAAAUAAAAUAAAAUAGGGCCAACCCCCUCCCCCCACUUAUGCACACUGACCCAGAAUAAAACGCGUUUCAGAGUGGCAUAGAUUUCAUAUCCGGGAAAUGGCCCUCUGUCUUGUGCCUGCGAGGUCUAUCGAGCUGUAGUAACAACGUCCCUCGCUCCCCGCACGCGAAAUCUCCCUUCCCUUUCCUACUCGCCCCCCCACCCCACACCCGCCGCAAGAGAACCACUCUGUUAUUUCUAGGAUUCAACCCGCCCCGAUCUCCCUUCUCUGCUGCUGCUUUUGCCACAGACGUCCCAGUCCCUUCUCCACUGACAAUCAGCAAGAGGCAGGAGCCCGGGGCAGAAGAGGAAAGCAAGAGGGGUGGGUGGGGGGGGGGGUGUUUACCGUGCGCCUGGCUGUACGAGACUCUGGCUCUGGCAUGGGCCGAGUUGGCGUAGUAGGGGUUGCCCUGGGAGUCCAGGUGGUUGAAGAAGACAUCCACUUCGUCCGGAGAGGAAAAAUUCUGUGCAACUGGAAAGCUUGCUGUCCUAUCAAUACCAUGGAUGCAACAGAAGUAUCGUCUGAAUCAUUUGUGGUCCUGUCUUCCAAAUACAUUUUAAGCCAGGAAUAUCAGACAGGCCCGGCUCUCCAUGCAAAGAGGAUGAGGAUGGGAAACAUACCAGGGAUGCGACAAAAGAAAGGCAACUAAACAAGAACAUCCACCUCAGAGCACUCACUCCAGAGAAAGUUAAGAUGUGUCCCCCCCCCCAUUUAUUCGGGAGCCCCACAGAUUUCAAUAGGAUUUACUUCCAAAAUAACGAACAGGAAAACUUCACAAAUACGAUUUUUUUGAAAAAAAGGAAGGAAGGUGGGGGUGCUCAAUGGAAAAAGAAUUAUCAUCAUAAUGGUACUGGAAUCCGAGGGAAGGAAAGAGCAGAAAAUUCUCUCAAUUGAACACUCUGAUUAUCGGGACCCUUUCAAAACUCGCACAACAAAUACAGCCACCGCAUCUAAUGCAUCAUUUACCAGAGCAGAUCCCCGCGCGUUUGAUCGGCAGAUAGGC